rnacentral:rRNA from 1 species
ACGCUAGCUACAGGCUUAACACAUGCAAGUCGAGGGGAAACGGCAUUGAGUGCUUGCACUCUUUGGACGUCGACCGGCGCACGGGUGAGUAACGCGUAUCCAACCUUCCCAUUACUGUGGGAUAACCUGCCGAAAGGCAGACUAAUACCGCAUAGUCUUCGAUGACGGCAUCAGAUUUGAGGUAAAGAUUUAUCGGUAAUGGAUGGGGAUGCGUCUGAUUAGCUUGUUGGCGGGGUAACGGCCCACCAAGGCGACGAUCAGUAGGGGUUCUGAGAGGAAGGUCCCCCACAUUGGAACUGAGACACGGUCCAAACUCCUACGGGAGGCAGCAGUGAGGAAUAUUGGUCAAUGGACGGAAGUCUGAACCAGCCAAGUAGCGUGCAGGAAGACGGCCCUAUGGGUUGUAAACUGCUUUUGUAUGGGGAUAAAGUUAGGGACGUGUCCCUAUUUGCAGGUACCAUACGAAUAAGGACCGGCUAAUUCCGUGCCAGCAGCCGCGGUAAUACGGAAGGUCCAGGCGUUAUCCGGAUUUAUUGGGUUUGAAGGGAGCGUAGGCUGGAGAUUAAGUGUGUUGUGAAAUGUAGACGCUCAACGUCUGAAUUGCAGCGCAUACUGGUUUCCUUGAGUACGCACAACGUUGGCGGAAUUCGUCGUGUAGCGGUGAAAUGCUUAGAUAUGACGAAGAACUCCGAUUGCGAAGGCAGCUGACGGGAGCGCAACUGACGCUUAAGCUCGAAGGUGCGGGUAUCAAACAGGAUUAGAUACCCUGGUAGUCCGCACAGUAAACGAUGGAUGCCCGCUGUUGGUACCUGGUAUCAGCGGCUAAGCGAAAGCAUUAAGCAUCCCACCUGGGGAGUACGCCGGCAACGGUGAAACUCAAAGGAAUUGACGGGGGCCCGCACAAGCGGAG